ACCACCACCUCCUCCACCAAGACCCCCUCCAGGGCCCCCUCCGGUGGCUAGACCCCCCCCACCUGGUCCUCCUUACCAGCCUCCAGCACCUGCGCCUAGACCACCACCCCAACGUCCUUCCCCACGGCCACCACCUGCAUACCAGCCACCCCCUCCACCUGUGGCCAGACCACC